rnacentral:rRNA from 1 species
GGGCCCGCACAAGCGGAGGAGCAUGUGGUUUAAUUCGAUGAUACGCGAGGAACCUUACCUGGGCUUGAAUGCUAUAUCUCGCAAGAGAGUGUCUGUAGAAAUGCAGAUGAAAAUUGCAAGGUGCUGCAUGGCUGUCGUCAGCUCGUGCCGUGAGGUGUCGGGUUAAGUCCCAUAACGAGCGCAACCCCUAUCAUUAGUUGCCAUCAGGUAAUGCUGGGUACUCUAAUGAAACUGCCUACGCAAGUAGUGAGGAAGGUGGGGAUGACGUCAAGUCAGCACGGCCCUUACGUCCAGGGCUACACACGUGCUACAAUGGCCGGUACAGAGGGCAGCUACUUGGUGACAAGAUGCAAAUCUCUAAAACCGGUCUCAGUUCGGAUCGAAGUCUGCAACUCGACUUCGUGAAGUUGGAUUCGCUAGUAAUCGGAUAUCAGCAAUGAUCCGGUGAAUACGUUCCCGGGCCUU